rnacentral:rRNA from 1 species
CAGCGGCGGACGGGUGAGUAACACGUGGGCAACCUGCCCGCAAGACCGGGAUAACUCCGGGAAACCGGAGCUAAUACCGGAUAACACCGAAGACCGCAUGGUCUUUGGUUGAAAGGCGGCCUUUGGCUGUCACUUGCGGAUGGGCCCGCGGCGCAUUAGCUAGUUGGUGAGGUAACGGCUCACCAAGGCGACGAUGCGUAGCCGGCCUGAGAGGGUGACCGGCCACACUGGGACUGAGACACGGCCCAGACUCCUACGGGAGGCAGCAGUAGGGAAUCUUCCGCAAUGGGCGAAAGCCUGACGGAGCGACGCCGCGUGAGCGAAGAAGGCCUUCGGGUCGUAAAGCUCUGUUGUGAGGGACGAAGGAGCGCCGUUCGAAGAGGGCGGCGCGGUGACGGUACCUCACGAGGAAGCCCCGGCUAACUACGUGCCAGCAGCCGCGGUAAUAC